GACGAACGCUGGCGGCGUGCUUAACACAUGCAAGUCGAACGGAAAGGCCCUGCUUUUGUGGGGUGCUCGAGUGGCGAACGGGUGAGUAACACGUGAGUAACCUGCCCUUGACUUUGGGAUAACUUCAGGAAACUGGGGCUAAUACCGGAUAGGAUCUCCUGCUGCUUGGUGGGGGUUGGAUAGUUUCGGCGGUUGGGGAUGGACUCGCGGCUUAUCAGCUUGUUGGUGGGGUAGUGGCUUACCAAGGCUUUGACGGGUAGCCGGCCUGAGAGGGUGACCGGCCACAUUGGGACUGAGAUACGGCCCAGACUCCUACGGGAGGCAGCAGUGGGGAAGAGUGCACAAGGGGCGGAAGGCUGAUCCAGCAACGCCGCGUGGGGGAUGACGGCCUUCGGGUUGUAAACCGCUUUCGCCUGUGACGAAGCGUGAGUGACGGUAAUGGGUAAAGAAGCACCGGCUAACUACGUG
rnacentral:rRNA from 1 species